rnacentral:rRNA from 1 species
AACGAACGCUGGCGGCAUGCCUAACACAUGCAAGUCGAACGAGACCUUCGGGUCUAGUGGCGCACGGGUGCGUAACGCGUGGGGACCUGCCCUUAGGUUCGGAAUAACUCCCCGAAAGGGGUGCUAAUACCGGAUAAUGUCUUCGGACCAAAGAUUUAUCGCCUUUGGAUGGGCCCGCGUUGGAUUAGCUAGUUGGUAGGGUAAAAGCCUACCAAGGCGACGAUCCAUAGCUGGUCUGAGAGGAUGAUCAGCCACACUGGGACUGAGACACGGCCCAGACUCCUACGGGAGGCAGCAGUGGGGAAUAUUGGACAAUGGGCGAAAGCCUGAUCCAGCAAUGCCGCGUGAGUGAUGAAGGCCUUAGGGUUGUAAAGCUCUUUUACCCGGGAUGAUAAUGACAGUACCGGGAGAAAAAGCUCCGGCUAACUCCGUG